rnacentral:misc_RNA from 1 species
GCCCAGAGCAACSUAGCCUUGGCCGCGUGUCGGUUUCCUGUGUUGUAUACCUACUGAAACGGAAUUUGAACGUGCGACAUUUUGCUAUUCGCCUUGUGCUGUCCCAUCGGUUUUCCCUUUGGGGUGCGGUGUCGGGUGAACCUCAAAGCAAUCUUCGUGUUCUUCGCCGCCCACGAAACGUGCUGUUGGCGCAGCCCAUUAAGAUUGCUUGAGCUCUCGGAUGCGGAAUAUGCGGAGGGUAGUAGGCCUACGGCCUCUCUUUGCCCGAAUCAAGCGUUUAUUCGCUCAUUACCGAACGACGGCCUGCGGKGCCUUGAUGUGCCGAAGCCCACCGKGGGUUUCGGCAUCKUC